GGCAGACGGGUGAGUAACGCGUGGGAACGUGCCCUUCAGUUCGGAAUAACCCAUGGGGAACUUGGGCUAAUACCGGAUACGUGCGAGAGCAGAAAAGAUUUAUCGCUGAAGGAUCGGCCCGCGUCUGAUUAGCUAGUUGGUGGGGUAAUGGCCCACCAAGGCGACGAUCAGUAGCUGGUCUGAGAGGAUGAUCAGCCACAUUGGGACUGAGACACGGCCCAAACUCCUACGGGAGGCAGCAGUGGGGAAUAUUGGACAAUGGGCGCAAGCCUGAUCCAGCCAUGCCGCGUGAGUGAUGAAGGCCUUAGGGUUGUAAAGCUCUUUCGGCGGGGACGAUAAUGACGGUACCCGCAGAAGAAGCCCCGGCUAACUUCGUGCCAGCAGCCGCGG
rnacentral:rRNA from 1 species